rnacentral:lncRNA from 1 species
UGGAGUUGUUGUAUGAGUGGCAGACAGACCCAAAAUAUCAUCUCUGGGGGAAGUUCAGAAAGGUGCUGCUACAUUCAAUUAUGUGGUAUUUAUGGCUUGAGAGAAAUGUUCGAGUUUUUCGGGACGCGAGAUGCUUGUCUGUCCAAGUGGCUUGGAAAAUUGCCUUCGACACAUCAAGAUGGCUGCAGGCACAUAAGGUUGCUUCGCCCAGGAAAUGCUCAGAUUGGUUGAGAGUGAUUUUUCACUCGCCUUAAGGAUGGGGGAGUGUAAGAGACCUGUUUAUUUUUAUUUUUGUUUCAUUUAUCUUGUUUGGCUCCGGAUGGUUGGUUUUUUUUGGAGUAUGGCUUGUGAUGUUGUAGGUCGGAGGGAUGGAGGGCAUGGCUUUGGCUUUUUUGGUUUUUGGAUGUGCUUUCUUUUGGGUUUUCAUUCUUUUUCUCAGGUCCCCUGGUUUUUUAUGCCUAUUUUUAUUUUCUUUUAGAUUUCUGUACAGCUUCUAUGUUUGUAUUGUGUAUUGUCAUUAAUAAAAGUUUC